CUUCAUGUACGUAUGCACAGCCCGACAAGAAUUGAGAUUAGUGAAAGGUAUUUCCAUACAUAUUUAGAUACGUAACGAAAAACCUGAGAUACAUACACAUUUAUCGAGCCCAGUUAAAUUUUGUCUUUCUGAUCUGAUUGUUAACAUUCAAAUAAAAAUUUCUUCACGUUACCGUAACAACCGAGUAAAAUAAGCCUGGAUUCUGUUUUAAAUCUAUAAUGCCGUCCAUCAAGGAAUUUAGAGAAAUUAUCUUUCUCUCAUGUUUCAAUAUGAUGCUGGGACCAGUAAUUUUUGUCUUGGGAAUCUAUUCCGAGAUUGAAAUUUACAUGAGUAAAAAACACAG